rnacentral:lncRNA from 15 species
AUUAAUAAGUCCCCUACAGAUAAUAACUAAGGAGUUUAAUAAAGACUGUAAGAAUAACAUGUACAUGAAUUUCAAAGUGCUAAUUUCGUCUUACCUGAGUAGAAUUCAAGCCUCUCUUUGAGCUCUUCAUUACAGGGACACUUCACCCAUUUGCAUUAAGCUUUGUAUCAUUACUCACUUUCCCUGAGAGGGGAGAAAUAAGGAUUUUAGUGUUGCACUUCCUGCUUCCAAUGAUGUAAAAAUCGUCAUUUUGCGUCAUUGGAAGCAGGAAGUCUCAUAUCUGUGUAGAGGGGGUGAGACUACAAACACUACUUCCUCAUUUUUUUUUCCCUCAAGCUACAGACCUAUUACAGAUCAGUGGGUGGGACUUCACUUGCAGAAACUAAAAAAUAUAACCGCCAUCUUGUUUGGAAGCUAAGCAGAGGCACUAGCGAGUCAGACGUUACAACUAUGUUAAUCAAUGUAAUAUGGAAGAAAUUUCGAAAGUAUGAUGGUCGAAUCAGAUGUUCGUGGCUACCUUUAUGAGCCGCAAUAUAGCGAAGAGCAACUGAGGCUGAACAGGGGGCGGCUGAGGCUGAACAGGAGGCGGCAGAGGCUUCUGCAGCCGAGGCAGAGGACCUGCCUGUCGCGGACGAGGAGCCCGGACUGGCUCGAGCUUGGGCGGACUGCUGGUGCCUGUGCUCUCACUGUGCGCCUACGGACACACGGACGUCUGACUUUAAAACAAUAUCGCCUAACAGCCUUUCUGGAAUGGGUCCUGCAAGGCGAGAGAUUGGGUCGUUUUACCCGCUUAUAUGGUGCAGGCAAUCCGACAGAAAUAUCCAGCUCUAGAUGGCCAGUACUGCGGGCACCAAGAAGUUGAGGACGCUCAGGAGGAACUAUAACUGUCAUUGUUAACACAUUUAUUUUUGUUGUUGUUGAUAUAUUUCUGUCAAUAAAUGGUUUACAUUCACGUUGUUGUAGUCCUUGAUAGUGUUAGUGGGAGCAGCUUGCGGAGCUGUGCAUUGUGGGAGUUGUUGUCUUUAAUACAAAUGCGCCCUAAAGUCACUUUCUGUCUUUUCCCAGUCAAAUAGGCACCAAAUUCAAAAUGUAUGUUACAUUUCGUCUACAUAUAUAACCCACUUUCAAUAAAUAUUAAUGUUUCCACGGGUGAAAUGCUCCUUUAAUGAGAUUCUUUUCCCUCAGACCCCCCAAAAGACUCUUCACUGUGGUCUUUGCCCUCUUUUCUCUGGCCAUGGCAUUCUUCUUCUCUCGCUCCAGACUUCCCACUCUUGCUAAGGCUUCAUUGAGUCUAGUCUUAAGAGCGGUAGGAGGAGCAGGCGAGGCAUAGCCAUUAUCCUAGUAGAAAGAGGGAUGAACAUGGUUUGAGUGAUGUUUCAUUUCACACACAUUCUUUCUUACAGUCAUCACCAGGUUGCAGUUUCUGGGGCAUCCUGAAAGGCCACCGACAGGCUCUCUUCAGCUCUUCUGGAGGUAGACGUAGUCCUGCCCUUUUCCGGCUAAAAUGAAGAAGCAAAACACUUGAAAAGAAUAUACAGGGAUAAGUAUCUCACCCUGCCCUGUGAUUGAUAAUAGAAUAUUUACAUUUAUGAAUGCUAAUAGCCUUAUGAUGAUACACCUACAAUUUGGAGGUGAACCGGGAAGCUUAAGAUGGAUGGAAUAACACCAUCUCUGAGUCUGACUAUCUGACCUGUCCUAUCUUUCAAAAUGAAAACGGGAGAUUCGGGAGAGUCUACACAAAAACAUUUUACAAAGGAGGUCAAGCUUAUUUUCUUCCUUCAAAUUUCUUACAACCUUUCUUCAACAGAACUCCUAUUUUGAUGCAUAUCUGUUGAUAAUGAACUGAAGCUGCUUAAAUUGUGAAUAAGCUUGUUUGCAAACUAUUCUACAAUCAGAUGUUCUGUUGUCUGUUUUUUUAAAGCAACACUAUGUAGUGUUUCGACCUCAAAAUAAUGUUUCUAAACUCAUUGAAGUGGUAGAAAAAGUCUCAGUUCAUAGCCGGGUGAACACCGGCAAUAAACAUAACUUAGCUAGCUGGCUACGAUUUUGCUGGUGGACAUAAAUACAGUACAGUAACAUUCGAUUCACAAAAUACAACCAAUACUAAUGUUCAGUCUUACUUGUGAAAAGUAAUCCCCAGAGCCCUGUUUUCGAUGGUCCACCGAUUAGAACAGGAAUAUUCUGCAGAGUGCUCUGGCAACUUGUUCCUUGGCGCAUGUGCGUUUGGAGGAAUCGGGGCUCGAUUAUUUUCCCCUGUGCAUUCUCCAGGAUUCCAGGCAGAGCAACCAUAGAAGACAGCGGAGGCAGGUUAGAGGAUGAGCAGCACAUAAACAUAGAGACAGGGACAAACACAGACACAGAGACAUACACACAUUUAGAGACAAAUGCAGAUCCUGAUAAACCUGUUGUUACAUAUCAACAAUAUGUACCGUUAACACUAGAUUCUAAAACGCCCCCUAGGUUAACUCUUAAGUGCAUAGAGUGAAUGUGACAUUUAGACAUGACACUAUGCUAGUGAUUUGUACAUGCAUGCAAGUCUGCAUACAGUACGCAGUUCACUAUUUGAUGCAAGAUUAAAAGCAACCAUAAAAUGCAUACUCACUGUUUCCAACUGUCCAGCAUCCAGUACAGACAGUAGGUUGUUGUUUUUUUAUUUUAUUUCAUAAUGAUCAUUAUGUGAAAAAACAAUUGUUAUUAAUGUGUUUGAAUUUCUGUCAUUGAUAAUUUUCUUUUUUGUAAUGGUAAAAAGAGCAAGAGAGACAGAGAAAUCCCCACAGACUCCCUGCAAUGAUGCUAACUGGCAUGUCAUUGAACACAAUGUUGCUCACCUUCUUCACUGGGACAGGGGUACAGUUAUGAGGAGACUGGGGUGCUGCUGACUCAUCUGUUGUUAAGUCUGCUAAAAGGGGCAGGGACAAUGAUUUAAUAUGAAUAUCUUGCUAAAUGUUUCCCUGAACUGAUUAAAUGGUGAUUAAAUGUAGGCUAACACUAGUCUGUGGCUAGCUAGCUUAUUUCACUAUGGACAUUAAGCCAACAGGUUAAUACCACUCACAGACUAUAGGCUACCCACUUUUCUUGGUGAAAAACUGGGUUACAGAUUGACAUUCUUUUCUUUGUCUUUCCUCUCUCUCUCUUUUCUCUCGUUCCUUUUUUGAAAACCAGAUUUUGAUUUACUAGGCAACAUUGUUGUAGAUCAUUGAUCAUGUCAAGAUUGGUUCGGUUUGAGCUAUUACAGCCACCGUAUUUGUAGUCAGUAAAGCUGCGCAUGCGUACUACUCUAGGAGGUGGGUGCUUAGAUAUAGGUAUUGACUAUUGACUGGUGUACCUGUUCGCAUCCUCGGUGUUGCUGUUAAUAAACCUGAGUUAUGGUCAAACACCAUGCUUAUCUUUAUUGUAGUAAGUUUUCAACAAGGUGUCAGAAGUAUUUUUAUGGAGUUUUCACGGACUUUGCUAGUUUGACCAGGAUUUUAUUUCAAAGCGAGGAUGACAGAGCCAGCUCGGCAGGCUAAGUAGGAGUUAAACAGUGCACAUGGAGGACGGAUUCUGGAGACCCGACUCACUCGUCUUUGACGGUAACAUCGGCGAAAACAGGCAGAUUUUUGAACAAGAGUAUGACAUUUUCAUCGUGGUGGCACACUAUGACAAGCCAGCCCGCACUCGAGCAUACAUCCUCCUCAAUCUGGUGGGAUCGGAGGCGGGAUCGGAGGCCAUUGAGUGUGAAAGGUCUUUCGUGUAUGCAGCUGAAAUGAGGGAGCCCGGCG